GAUGAAGAACGUAGCGAAAUGUGAUACGUAGUGUGAAUUGCAGAAUUCCGUGAACCAUCAAAUCUUUGAACGCAUAUUGCGCUCGAGGCUUCGGCCGAGAGCAUGUCUGCCUCAGCGUCGGUAUUACCCCUCGCUUCUCAACCCCUGGUUGAUGCCCGCCUGCCUUUGCAGUUGGCUAGAAGCGGAUCUGGCUUUCCCAAUUGCCUUUGGUAGUUGGGUCAGCUGAAGCACAGAGGCUUGAGCAAGGACCCUUAUUGGGCUUCAACUGGAUAGGUAGAACUGGUCUUAGGACCAACUACACGAAGUUGUUGCUUGUGGUCUUUGUCUGGAGGCCAGCAGGAAACCUUUAUACCUUCGACCUGAGCUCAGGCAAGAUUACCCGCUGAACUUAAGCAUAUCAAUAAGCGGAGGA
rnacentral:misc_RNA from 1 species